UCCUACGGGAGGCAGCAGUGGGGAAUAUUGGGCAAUGGGCGAAAGCCUGACCCAGCAACGCCGCGUGAGGGAAGAAGGGUUUCGGCUCGUAAACCUCUGUCCUAUGGGACGAAGGAAGUGACGGUACCAUAGGAGGAAGCCCCGGCUAACUACGUGCCAGCAGCCGCGGUAAU
rnacentral:rRNA from 1 species